UUGGCAAUAGAGUUAUUAUGAUUAUUGAAGGCAUUUUGUGGACUCUUACCUUAGGGUUAUUAUUAUUAAUAUUUCUAUGACAAUUGGACCGACUAUCCAAUUUAAAAAUGAGUCUUUCUGGUCAGUUCAUUGAUUUUAAAAUCUAUCACACUUUUACAUUCUCUCAAAACAAUUUCAGCAGAAUGUAAUGUUAUGAUAAAUAGAAUUACAUUUCCCAUGUUCUUAUAUGCAGUCACUUUAUGGGGGAAGACCUCCAAUCCCUUAAGUAUGAAAGAGCUUCUGAUUUGGAGCAGCAACUUAACUCUGAAGCACAUAAGAUCUAGAAAGCCAGGGUGAGAGCAUUUUAUCAUGGAUUGGAGAUGAUUAUGUUGUUAUAGAUUAUAAGACUGCUGCACAUCUUGAGAAUCAUUUGAUCAAUUUGGAUGAAAAGAAGUUUGGUAUCAACCCCUAACAAAAAUCGAAAGAGGUAACUUUCUAUACUUACUGCUUUUACAUACAAGUUGUAUAUUUCCUACUUGGUAUUGUGGAUUACAUUCCAAA